UACGGAGGGUGCAAGCGUUAUCCGGAUUCACUGGGUUUAAAGGGUGCGUAGGCGGGUAUAUAAGUCAGUGGUGAAAGCUCCGGGCUUAACUUGGAAACUGCCAUUGAUACUGUAUAUCUUGAAUGUCGUUGAGGUAAGCGGAAUGUUGCAUGCAGCGGUGAAAUGCUUAGAUAUGUUACAGAACACCAAUUGCGAAGGCAGCUUACUAAGCGAUGAUUGACGCUGAGGCACGAAAGCGUGGGGAGCAAACAGG
rnacentral:rRNA from 1 species